AAAAAAUUCAAAAAUAAGAGCAAUGAAAAUAGUGACUAAACAUACUAAAAAAUGGUCAAGAGAAGAGAAUUUGGUAUACACAAAAGAUAACAAAUCAAAGAAGCUGGUAAUUAUGAGAAGAGAAAGAUAUAAUAAUAUGUUAAGAGAAGCUAUUGAAGAAAUAGGUUCGAUUCCUCUAGAUAAAUACCCUACGAAAUAUUUACAGAAAAGAACACUCCAACUUCUAAAGAACAAACACUUACCAUAGUUUCUAAAAACCUUGAAAGUAAUGGCAGUCAACAUGUCCCUGCAUUUUUGGCUUUGUCAAACUUCAUAAAACUCUAUUGAAAAUUCUUCCAAUCAGAGAAAAAAUAAGCAGUCUGACUUAUGUCCUUGAAAAGAACCUGGCAAGAUGUGCCGAGAAAAAAAUGCAAAGCUAUAUACUAAUACCCAUAUCAUCCUCAAUCUUUAUUGAAGAUUUAAAUAGCCUAAAUCUCUUCCUCAAUGAAGCAUUAACAGUGUAUGACUCGAAUCCCUAUACCUGUCUAUAUCCACAGAACCAGCUUGUAUACAGUCAUACACACUAAUGUUAGACAUUUUAAUAAAUCUUGAAAAAAAAAGAACUAGGUGC
rnacentral:lncRNA from 1 species